rnacentral:rRNA from 1 species
UACGGGGGGGGCAAGCGUUGUUCGGAAUUACUGGGCGUAAAGGGCUCGUAGGCGGCCAACUAAGUCAGACGUGAAAUCCCUCGGCUUAACCGGGGAACUGCGUCUGAUACUGGAUGGCUUGAGUUUGGGAGAGGGAUGCGGAAUUCCAGGUGUAGCGGUGAAAUGCGUAGAUAUCUGGAGGAACACCGGUGGCGAAGGCGGCAUCCUGGACCAACACUGACGCUGAUGAGCGAAAGCGUGGGGAGCGAACAGG